rnacentral:rRNA from 1 species
ACAGGUGCUGCAUGGCUGUCGUCAGCUCGUGUCGUGAGAUGUUGGGUUAAGUCCCGCAACGAGCGCAACCCUCAUCCUUAGUUGCCAUCAUUCAGUUGGGCACUCUAGGGAAACUGCCGGUGACAAGCCGGAGGAGGGCGGGGAUGACGUCAAGUCCUCAUGGCCCUUAUGGGCUGGGCUACACACGUGCUACAAUGGCGAUUACAAUGGGCAGCGAAGGGGCGACCUGGAGCGAAUCCCCAAAAAUCGUCUCAGUUCGGAUUGGGGUCUGCAACUCGACCCCAUGAAGUCGGAAUCGCUAGUAAUCGCGUAACAGCAUGACGCGGUGAAUACGUUCCCGGGCCUUGUACACACCGCCCGUCACACCAUGGGAGUUGGGUUUA